CUAGUAGUCACGUAGUUUGAUCCUGGCUCAGAACGACGCUGGCGGCAUGCCUAACACAUGCAAGUCGAACGAGACCUUCGGGUCUAGUGGCGCACGGGUGCGUAACGCGUGGGAAUCUGCCCUUGGGUUCGGAAUAACAGUUGGAAACGACUGCUAAUACCGGAUGAUGACGUAAGUCCAAAGAUUUAUCGCCCAAGGAUGAGCCCGCGUAGGAUUAGCUAGUUGGUGAGGUAAAGGCUCACCAAGCCGACGAUCUGUAGCUGGUCUGAGAGGACGACCAGCCACACUGGGACUGAGACACGGCCCAGACUCCUACGGGAGGCAGCAGUGGGGAAUUUUGGACAAUGGGCGCAAGCCUGAUCCAGCAAUGCCGCGUGCAGGAUGUAGGCCUUCGGGUUGUAAACUGCUUUUGUACGGAACGAAACGGUGAGCUCUAAUACAGUUUGCUAAUGACGGUACCGUAAGAAUAAGCACCGGCUAACUACGUG
rnacentral:rRNA from 1 species